CGUUUCUUUAGAAGAGACUUGAUGGGGUGGGAUUUCUGACAGUUAUCCCACAAAAUAUGUAAGAUAUGGGUUGUUUGGAUGCAAGGGGUGGGAGAACCAUGGGAUAAUUGUCAGGGACACAGAAAUCCUGUCAGAAGGUUGUUGCUUCCACCCCUUCCAUUUCAAAGUCCCACCAAAUUGGUGGAACUCUUGUGGGAAAGAAGAUCUUGGUAGAAGACGACUCCAAUGGCUCUGCCUCUUCUUCUUCAGUUCAGUUUCUUCUCACCCAACAAAGUUAAGAAGGCUACGAUCGUGGUGGAAGAACAAAUAGAGGUUUUCAUUUCUUGUGGAAAAGUCGAUCUCUCCAACAUCUCUGCCUCUUUUUCUUCAGCUCAGGUUCUUCUCUCCCAGCAAAGAGUUGCUGAACUAUGAUUUGAGUUGCUUUUCUUUAUGAUGGUGUUGAUUGUUGGUUGAUACUCU